rnacentral:piRNA from 1 species
UNGGACGCUAAGAUGACAUUUGGGCGUUU